AUAGGGGAAGUUUAUGAAUUUUAUUGUUCGUCGACCACGGUUUCCCCGGGUUAGUUUCGCAAAAAAAAACCAAAAAAAUAAAGACAGAAAAAGAAAGAGAGAAGGGGGAGAGAGAGAGAGAGAGAGAGAGAGAGAGAGAGAGAAUAAGCAUUGACUCGCUUUCGAACUCGGACUUCCUCACCGAUAUAGCAGACUUUAUUUUUAACGUUACUUAUAAUAUAUAAAAAGAAAAAAAAAUGAAAUGGUUUGGAUAGACGAGGUCGAAUGCGAAUUUCUUACUGAGCUCGUCGUAAUACGUGAUAAAGGAAAAAAUUAAUAAAUAGAAAAAGAUAAAAAAAAGAAGCAAAAGUAAACGAAAGAGAGGAAACAAUCUUAAAGGAGCUCAUAGAAUUUAUUAUUAAAGAAAGAAAAAAAAAAAAGGAAAAAAAGUAAAAGAAAACUGAUAAAUUAAACUGCGAAACGAAUGAGCACGAGGAACACCAAAAGCAUCGGCACAGAACUAAACGACAUCUGAUAUAUAAACACGUUGUUAAUGGGUAUUACAAUAAAUUUAAGCCGAUAUCGAAGGAUUAAUUCGUGUAAAUUAGACGACAGAAAGUAUCCACAUAGAUGAAUACCUACAACCAAAAAUAUAUAUAAAUAUAAAAAUACAGAUACACACAUACGGAUACAUAUACGUACACUCAUAUACACAUUAACAUGCGCGUGAAACGAGAUGGAACCAGCCACACACACACACACACACACACACACAAAUCUACACGGACUCGUUUCGCGCAAACAUUCUUACUUAUAGACACGCAUACACGUUUAACACAUAACUUGGAUUAAUAGAUGACAUUAAUUAGGGAAAUCGCGCGUGGCACGGCCGAACCGCCGAAUCGAUUCUAUCGAACGAACGAAAUCGCGUGAUCUUCUUUGUCGGUAAUAAAUAAAAAAAUUGAGAAAAAGAAAGAAAGAGAAAGAAAGAGAGAGAAAGAGAGAUAGACAGACAGACAGAGAAAGAGAGAAAGAGAGAGAAAGUAAGAAAGAAGAAACAACGAGCACACCGCAAGGAUUCCUCUGCGAGACAAGGAAAUGUUUCUGUCUGAUAAAUCUCUGUUCGUAUCCCUUGCAAUAUUUGUUUUUACGAAAAAUCUUUAACGUCGAUAUUCGAGUAAACAUAUAUGUGUCGUUGAUUAUGAAAUUGAUCCGACGAAAUAAUUAGGAUUAAGACAUAAAAGAAGAUGAACGAUAAACAUGAUUUGUCCAUAUAAUAAAUAUCAAUUUCGACUUCCAAUCAAGAACACUUUCAUAAUUUACCGACAUAUGUUUCGCAAAAUGAAUGAUCCAAUGAUCUAUAAAUUAAUUCGUUGGGAUACGCUGCAAGAUUAGAAUUCAGUUCGUUCCUACGAUCGACAGGAGGAAUUCCCCCCAUAUAUAUAUGUAUUAUAAUAAUUCGAGUCCCAUUAAUCCACGUGAUCCGCGUUAUCCUCUGCGAUUUUUUCUUCGAGAUCGUCGAGACUCCGGCCGUACAUACGUCGCGAUAGAUUUCUAUAUGUAGGUAUGUACUACGUUCGAGUUCGUCGUUGCCAGUUUGGUUCUUUUUAACCUUGCCAUGACAAUCGUGCCGAAGAUCGUCAGCCAGUAUUUAACGAUGGACUGGAAUUAAUUAGUAAUUUAAUGGAAUUUGAUAGUACACUUAAUACUCAGACUUUGAUAUAUACUGUCGUCGCACAAUUCGCAAGGUCGAUCUUCCGUUCGAGCGUGGCGAGUAGACUGACGUCGUAGAGACGAUUUUCAUUCUUAUUUCUCUCGUAAAUUAAUUAUUAUCACUUUUGUUACGUUCGUCGAAAAUAAAGGAAAAAAUACAAAAAAGAAAAAAAAAAGAAAAGAAAGAGGAAGAGUUAGAAAUAAAAAGUUAGAAGAGAGAGAGAGAGAGAGAGAGAGAGAGAGAAAUUAAAAAAUGGGGAGAAAAGCGUUGUUCGACAUUGUCGAUUCGGAUCGUUAUUACAUUAGGAAUUAAAUGAUUGCGCGACAUUGAUGUUUGGAUACGUCACUCGUAAGCAUAAUAUAAUACAUACAUAUAUACAUACAUACAUAUAUAUUAUAUAAGUCGGUCAACAAUGCCGCGCGCGACGAGAGGAGAAAGAAAGAGAGCACGCGAUUAUGUUAGUGUGAUUCGAAGUCGGCCGAUCUCGUCAAAGCGUCUUGGAUAUUAUCUGCAUAGACAAAUCCAGACCAAAAAGGAUUUCUUUUUCUUUAUUAUCCUAUAAUGCCAAAUGAAAAUUUCGUAUUUAACGUACUCCAUUCUAAGGGAAUACGAACAUUUUAUUUUUGCUCUUCGAGAUCUACGGGGAACAAAUAUCAAACUCGAUGUUAUCUCGAACUCGAAUGUGUAACGCAAAUUUAACGAUACUCGCAAAUAAGGAUCUCUUAAUAAUGAAAAAAAAAAAAAGAAAAAAAAGCAAAAAAUGAAAAAAAAAAAAAGAAAAAAGACAAAAAAAACCAAGAAAGAAAGAAUAAAAAUACAGAAGAGAGCAUCGUCGUUAUGAUUUCCGUACCGAUUAGACUUCAUAACGAAUAAAUUGGCUCAUUCGAUAUUUAAUCGAUACUCGUAGAAUCCCGUCAAUUAUUAGCGUAUCCGUCGGUGAUGUAAUUAUUAUGAUGUAUUUAUUAAUAGAUCUAUACAUAUACAUAUAUAUACAGACAGACAGACAUAACUUAUAUGUAUAUUCGCGAUAUUUAAAGGCCAUUACUCUCUGUACAGGCGAGCUUAUAGAACGCCCAUUUGAGAUUGUACACUUCAUUUUACUUUAGAUUAUUCUAUCUCAAAUACGAAGCGUAUAUUUUUAUGAGACGGUACAUGUGCAGGCACAUUUCAGUACAAAGUCGUCGGUGCUUAUCUCGGAUCUCAACGAAAAUUUCAUUUUUACGCGUGCGUAUCGGAGUUGGGCAAAAUAUAAUCAAUUAAUAAUCAUCGAUAAUCAUAGCAUAUUGAGUAAUCGGUAACGCAUUAAUGAAUAAUGAAAACGAACGAUAAUAAUUAAUCGUAAAAGCAUUACGAUAUUAAUUAUGAUCGACUGAAAGAAUUAGCAAUGCAUUAAAUAUUGAAAAUACACAUAAUUAUUUUCUACGCCAUUAGCAUCCAUUGAUAUCUUCCAAAAUUUCAUGAAGAUCGUAGUAAAUUUUUUUCUUCUCACGAUUAUUGGUUACCGAUUACUGAUUAUCGAUUACAAAUGAAUGAUUAAUCUCGAAGAAAAAUAUUGAUCCAUUACGAAAUUAAUUAGAAGAGUAAUCGAUUAUUGCCUUACUCCAAUGGAUGUGUACACAUUCGGUCCUUGUUCGAUCCUUAUCAGAGAAUUUGAGAAGACAUGAUCGCACACGUGCGAAAUAAUAAAUAUUGUAAAAUCGUAAAUCUCGAUGCGUAACAGGCAGGUCCCCUUGAAUAACGCGUUGAGCUUUCUCUAAUUAAAAUGGCACAAACGACAAUCUCUAUCGAAAUUCCAUUACGUUUUUUAACGACUAAAUAUCAUUUUUUUCUCCUUCUUCUUUUUUUAACGUCGGGUGCUAUUAUUUUCUUCAAGUUCACGUGAAAAGUCGCGUUCACACGAAAGUAAGAGAGAUCGAUUUAAAAAGAAAUACAGUUCUCUUUAUAGAUCCAUUAUUGACGAUCGGCCGAGUCUGGUAUCGAUAAAAAGCGCUCCAUCAAGUGCAAGCUCUUUCUUUUCUUCUUCCUUAAAAUCGGACGCCCGGUUUCACAAAGGCCUGUCAAAUCGCGAUAUUAGAAACAGGGUGUACGAGGAUCGUGAUGAGAUGCUUGGAAUGCAAAUCUCUGACAACGAGUAGCGUCGAUUGUUUUUAUAUAUUAUUGAAUGGUUCUUUCUAUUAUUUUUUUCUUUUUUUUUUUUUUUUUCAGUUGUAAUUUGUAUAAUAAUUACGUAUAAAGUUCUACAACUAAAAGAAAUAGUUGUCAAUCGAUAUUAGGAUAUCGACAGGAAGAAUUGUUAUUUUUUCUCGGAUGAUUAGAUUCUAAACGUUUGCUAUUCAUGGUCAUGUAUUUUCCAUCUCGAUGCUUCUCAAAGUCAGUUCGAAUCGCAUGACGGAAAACAAAAGGAUAAAGAAAACUAUCCAAAUGAGAGUUUUGUUGAAUAUUGCGCGAUAAUGAUCCGUAUUGUCGAUCCUAGAAAAAGUGAAAGGAAGGAAGGAAGGAAAUAAGAAAGAUGGGAGAAAAAAUGAAUGAGAGAGAGAGAGAGAGAGAGAGAGAGAGAGAGCAUGUGAAACACGUCGAUGAGUCAAACAUUGACGGAACUUGACGAAGAAAAGACACUAGAGGCUGAAAACAUCGUGGAGUACUGGAGGUCCUUAGUACGUAAUUUCAAGGUCUAAGAAACCUUAACGUAGAGAUAAACGUUCGUAAAAGGAAACAAAAAAAAUGAGAGAAAGAGAAAGAGAAAGAGAGAGAGAGAGAGAGAGAGAGAGAGAGAGAGAGAGAGAUAGAGAGAGAGAGAGAGGGAGAGAGAGAGAGAGGCGUACGUACGAAGAUUGUAAACGCUUCGAUAAGUCCCUAGCUUGAAUCUUCGACGUUUAUUGAUAAACACGGUAGAAUACGUCGAUAAAAUCGCUUGUGAUUCAACGUCAAGUAAAAAGUUUCGAUUCAUCGUACUAUUAAUUUCAAUAGCCGAUAUCGAUACCUCUCUACGAGAAUAACGUUAUCCUUUGAUUACGCUAAACUUUCGCUAUCUUGAACGUUGUGGUGAAGGAAAUACGGGCGAUUAAAUUGCGCGAUCGAGAUUAGCGAAUUUAAUUUCGUUGUUGAUUUCGCACUUAAUUAUUCCACGAGAGACGACAAUCAAUGAAUAAUUCAAAUGAAAAAAGAUACGAAAAAUAAUAGAUAGAACAAAAGGAGCUUUCUUUUUCUUUGUUGGAUAGUUCAAAAAAAAAAAAAAAAAAAAAAAAAAGAAAUAAAGAAAAAAAGAAGACGAAGCGAUCUCUAACGCGUCUUUCGUAGAUCGAAGAAAGAGGGAUGAUCUCAUUUGUCAAUUAUUUUUUUCUUUGCUUAGGCCUUAUUAUCGAUACGUUUCACGGUGCGGAUACUUUUUUCCUAUCUAUACUCGACGUAUAGGUGCACGCAUUGAAAAAGUAUUCCGACACCUUCUACUCGUGAAGAAAAAGAAAUCAAGCAGGAGGCUUGAAAAUUAGUUGCUCUACUCGAUGACAAUUCAAUUCGAGUAAGAAGUAAGAAAAUCUAGGAGAAAGAGAGAGAGAGAGAGAGAGAGAAAGAAACAUUCUUCUUCAUAGCGAUAUUCUCGUAAUUUUUCUCAAUUACAUUUUCGGAUUUAUAGAGAAAACGACGAGUAUAACGUAUAGGAGAGAUUAUAUGAUAACGUUACGUGAAUCUUUUUCUUUCGAUUAAAACAUUAAAUGAGGAAUCUCGAAGAUGAGGACGAGCGGUUAAAGGAAUGCUCGCUGAUAAUAAAAUCUCUAGCUCGGAGACGUAUCCCAAUAGUUGGCCUAGUACCGAGUUUCAUAUUUUUCGCCCCGGUCGCAACGGAUCGUCGAACGAUUAUCGUCUAUUACAUUAUUGACAUUCUUCCAGAAAUUUUAUUGAUAUAAACUUUAUCGCUACCGUUGAACAUAAUAUAUUUGAUUAUGAUAUGGCGAUACCUUCGGUAUUAUAAUUAUGGACACCGAAUAUAUCGGGAGAUAGAGAGAGAGAGAGAGAGAGAGAGGGGUGGGAGGGAGAGGGAGAGGGGAAAGAGAGGAAGAGGGAGAGAGAAAGAGAAAGGAGAGAAAAAAACUGAGGGAAAACGCGAUUCGCGUCUUGUAAAACUCAGUGGAUUUGGGGGUAGUAGAUUAUAUAAAUAGGGCAUAAGGGUUGGGUAGACAAGGGGAUAGGGGAAAAAUAUUGGGGGACGGGGGGGUUCGAAUGAUAACGAAACGAAGAUUAAGGCUAUGUAAAGAGACGAUGUAACGAGUCUUUCGAAAGAAAAAUCUCUUCCUUUCGUUGAUGUAAAACGUUGAAUGAUGAACCAAAGUGAAAAGAAUCUUAACUGUACGUAUGAAUGGAAAAUACAGCACAAGAAUCUCGUUUCCGUUUUCAUCUAAUUACGUAACGAUAUAUCAGUAAUGAAUAUUAUGAUUACGAUGAUUGCUGUAUUUAUUGUUAUUGUUCCUCGGUUAAGCGGAGACGUUUAAGAGUGACCCAUUUGUACAAUCAUUGAGUCAUUAAAAUAUGAUUAUUCAUUAUGGAAA